AGGGAUUUUUGAAUAAAGAAAGAAUAACAAAAAAGAGGAACGAAUUCCUAUUUAAUAAAUUUCAUGUUGUAUAAAAUCCUUAUUCCUUUAUUCGGACAUAGAACAAAGAUACGGAGUGUGAGAAAAGAGAAAAAGAUACGGAUCCAUGUGUUGGACCUCAUAAUAUUUCCACGUUCGUUGAUAUCAUUGGAGCGGCUCAUUAAACUGGGAUUCCACGGAUUUAAGGAUACUCCCAAUCAAAGUAUUGAGGGAACAUCUCAAGGAAGAUCGUUUUUUACCGUUAAGGAAGAACACUCUUCCAGAGUCUAUUCGGCGAAAGGAGGAAAUACUUACUUAUGAUUAGAAGAAGAAAAAGAAAUUCUAGAUUGAGCUUCAGCUUUGUUUUUGUUUCUUUGAAAUCAAAAACUGUUUAAAAUCCUUUGGCAGCCGGAACUGAGAGGGUAAACUCGGAAGAAAGAAG
rnacentral:lncRNA from 1 species